AUUGAACGCUGGCGGCAGGCUUAACACAUGCAAGUCGAGCGGAGAUGAGGUGCUUGCACCUUAUCUUAGCGGCGGACGGGUGAGUAAUGCUUAGGAAUCUGCCUAUUAGGGGGGGACAACAUUCCGAAAGGAAUGCUAAUACCGCAUACGUCCUACGGGAGAAAGCAGGGGAUCUUCGGACCUUGCGCUAAUAGAUGAGCCUAAGUCGGAUUAGCUAGUUGGUGGGGUAAAGGCCUACCAAGGCGACGAUCUGUAGCGGGGCUGAGAGGAUGGGCCGCCACACUGGGACGGAGACACGGCCCAGACUCCUACGGGAGGCAGCAGUGGGGAAUAUUGGACAAUGGGGGGAACCCUGAUCCAGCCAUGCCGCGUGUGUGAAGAAGGCCUUAUGGUUGUAAAGCACUUUAAGCGAGGAGGAGGCUACUGAGACUAAUACCCUUGGAUAGUGGACGUUACUCGCAGAAUAAGCACCGGCUAACUCUGUGCCAGCCGCCGCCGUAACAC
rnacentral:rRNA from 1 species